UUCCUGGUGGUCCAGUGGUUAGGACUCCACCUUCCAAAGCAGGGACACAGGUUUGAUCCCUGGCCAGGGAA
rnacentral:tRNA from 1 species